UCGUUUUUAGCUAGUCUCCCACACAAACACUCUCUCUCUCUCAGACACUUCGAUAAGCUCCUCACUGUCUCAUCUCUAACACUACCCACAGCCAUAGCCACCACCACCCACAACCACAGCCAUCACCACCACCACCCAACCCCCAACCACCAAAUCACAAACAAAAACAAACCACCGUAAACCCACAGCCACCACUAGCCAACCCAACCCACAGCAAACCCAACCUAGCAAACCCACAGUCACCAUCACCCAGCCACUUGCCGCCACCGUAAACCCCAACCCAAAAUCAACCCACCACUAGCCAAUAAACUAAAAAAGAAUAAAAAAAUCCCUUACCACCACUAUAAAACAACCACCAUCUAACCAAACCUCCGUCGAUGAAAUCGUGUACCGCUCUGGAAGUCGUGUAGCCGUAGCUUCGGAGGUCACGGUCUUCUUCUUCACACCCACUCUCACCAUAAGUUUAUUUUAUUAUUAUUAUUUUUUAUUUUUAACCAGCUCAUCGGUACCAUCCGUUUACAAAGUCUUUUUAAGCAGUCAAACUCAGGUGCUUCUUAUGUGAUGUCGUUUAUUGCCUCCGAAAAAACCCAAGGGGUUUUCAAAUCGUAGAGCAUCAGCCACCUCACGCUCAGAGCUCAGAAUCCUCCACCUUUACCUUCGAUAAUGGUGACUCAGAUGACCUAAAAGCGAACGGCUAUCAUCAUGCCCCUGUAGGGAACUCAAAGUUGCUGCCAAUCUUGUGAAGUCCAAGGCCAAGCACAUCAAAACCAAGGCUUCUGACUUCUCCCCAUCUCCUCUGAAACCCACCACAAAGAAAGCAACCUGGUUUGAGUUGACGGAACUGGAACUGGGUGAGUUUGGCAGCCCCCAUCAAGAGUGGCAGUUGGAACCGGUCACUUUCCACCAGGUUGUUAGGCUUUGUGCAAAAUCAAGGGAAGUUGUGAGUUCUCCGGUUGAGCAUCUGACCCUUCACUAUUAGGUUCGACAUCUUUGACACAUCCGAAAAAAGUGAGCUUCACAAGUUACAACAACUGAAAGAUGAACAAGUGACAUCACUGCUGAAGGGAGACGGAUAACAAAGCUUGAUCAGAUUUUACUAAAUGGAAACAACAUUGCCAUUCUGGUCCCUGGUGGUUCACCUGAUCCAGAAUGAGUGCAGCUAGCCUCUACUCUGUUAUUGAUUUCCUCUUCCUCUACUGUGGUUGGGGUCAGAUUACUCUUCUGUUUUAAUGAGAAUUCUGACCACUAAGAUGCUCUUUUUACCACCACUUUGCUAUUCGUUAGUUAUCAUGAUUGUUGGAUAAUGGUGGUGGGUCUAUCAAUGAUCAUAGAUUAUGAUGGAUUGUGUUUGUCCUAA